AUUGCGCCUUUUUUUUUAAUCGAGUUGUACUAGAGAAUAGAUAUAAUCGGAAAAGAGAUAUUAAUUUAAAGGAAAAUAUUAUGAAGUCCAUAUUUUUCUUGCAUUAUAGAUUUAUUUUUAUUUUGUUUGUUCAUUGCUUUUUUUUUUUAAUACUUUGCGCUAAUAGACCUGCCUAAGUAUGUGGAGUUCUGAAAGACUUUCUGAUUUCUAUAAUCUUAUGUUAAGUUGCAUUGUGCUUGAGGAAUGUGUUUUAUAUCUCUCGGCAUUGAAAACAUUUUUACUACAAAUGAAGAGUGUGUUCUAUUCAAAUUUAAACUUUAGUAGAAGUCUAUUAAUUCACUGACUUUUAUAUAAAUCUGAUAUAACGAGCAGCCUAAUGACUUGAGUUAUCCCCUGAUGGAGUAAUAUUGUUUCAGAUACAUUGCAGCAAGCUGCUUCUCUAUUUUUUUAGUACCGUCACAUGGACGUGUCUGAUACUGAAUAAUCUUAGUUGAAGCACUAGAUUUUUCUUGCUAAAAAUGCAGGGAAUCAACUACUGCUUGUUGAAGAAUGAGUAACUCUUGAUAAGGUACCACUAAUUUUACUAUAUAUGUACUUUAUCAAAAAAAAAAUUAAUAUAUAUGUAAUGCCUAUAUAAAAUUUUAUUUAGUUUGAAGUUCAGUCCCUUGGAAAAUUAGUUUUUGUAUUGCACCUUUUUUUUUAAUCGAGUUGUAUUAAAGAAUAGAUAUAAUCAGAAAAGAGAUAUUAAUUUAAAGGAAAAUAUUAUGAAGUCCAUAUUUUUCUUGCAUUAUAGAUUUAUUUUUAUUUUGUUUGUUCAUUGCUUUUUUUUUGUUUAAUAAAGCCCACACUUUUAUUGUACUUUGCACUAAUAGACCUGCCUAAGUAGUGGAGUUCUGAAAGACUUUCCGAUUUCUAUAAUCUUAUGUUAAAUUGCAUUGUGCUUGAGGAAUGUGUUUUAUAUCUCUCGGCAUUGAAAACAUUUUUACUACAAAUGAAGAGUGUUUUCUACUCAAAUUUAAACUUUAGUAGAAGUCUAUUAAUUCACUAACUUUUAUAUAAACCUGAUAUAAAGAGCAGCCUAAUGACUUGAGUUAUCCCUUGAUGGAGUAAUAUUGUUUCAGAUACAUUGCAGCAAGCUGCUUCUCUAUUUUUUUAGUACCGUCACAUGGACGUGUCUGAUACUGAAUAAUCUUAGUUGAAGCACUAGAUUUUUCUUGCUAAAAAUGCAGGGAAUCACUGCUUGUUGAAGAAUGAGCAACUCUUGAUAA
rnacentral:lncRNA from 1 species